UACGUAGGGUGCAAGCGUUAAUCGGAAUUACUGGGCGUAAAGCGUGCGCAGGCGGCUUUGCAAGUCAGAUGUGAAAUCCCCGGGCUUAACCUGGGAACUGCAUUUGUGACUGCAUGGCUGGAGUGCGGCAGAGGGGGAUGGAAUUCCGCGUGUAGCAGUGAAAUGCGUAGAUAUGCGGAGGAACACCGAUGGCGAAGGCAGUCUCCUGGCAAGUAUCUGACGCUCAGGUGCGAAAGCUAGGGGAGCGAACAGG
rnacentral:rRNA from 1 species